GUGCCAGCCGCCGCGGUACUACCGGCAGCCCGAGUGAUGGCCGAUCUUAUUGGGCCUAAAGCGUCCGUAGCUGGCCGCGCAAGUCCAUCGGGAAAUCCACCUGCUCAACAGGUGGGCGCCCGGUAGAAACUGUGCGGCUUGGGACCGGAAGACGCGACGGGUACGUCCGGGGUAGGAGUGAAAUCCCGUAAUCCUGGACGGACCGCCGAUGGCGAAAGCACGUCGCGAGAACGGAUCCGACAGUGAGGGACGAAAGCUAAGAUCGCGAACCGGAUUAGAAACCCGAGUAGUCC
rnacentral:rRNA from 1 species